GUGAAUUCCAUGCCUGCUAAGCCGACACCGUGAGACUCUGUCAAAAACAACAACAAUAGCAGCAGCAACAACAAUAACAGAGGCAAAGCACCAAGACAAAGCUCAAGCAUGGACAAGUAUUCAUAUGAUCUUCAACACGUCAUUUCAGUCUCCUCUUUUUUUUUGGUUCUUUUUUUCGGAGCUGGGGACCGAACCCAGGGCCUUGCGCUUCCUAGCUCUCCUAAAAGCAGUGUUAUUACUUCGACUGGGUAAUAACACUCUGCAUCUCCAGGAAAUGUGACACAUCAAGAAGAUAACUGGAACAAGAAUCUCACACCAAAAGAUGUUUCUUCAAAAAUCUGAAAACAGGAAAUCCACUUGUGUUCUAAGAAGAUGAUUACAUUCACCUCUGCCUGGGGAGAAGUCACUGAAGAGCUGUACCGAGGUCAAAGCUUCUCCAGAACAUGUCAGUAGCAACUCAGAAGUAUAAAACAAACAAUUCUGAAGUCCCCAAAGACUCUUAUUGGCUCGUGAUGAACAGAAUGCCUGACUAAUGUGAUGUAGUGCAUGUGGAGGGCACUGUUACAUAGGGCAAUUCCUCAUGCCUCCAACUUAAGAGAUGAACAAACAUGCCCUAUCAUAUUGUAGAAAAUUGAAACUAGUUCCUUUGGGGACUGGGGCUUUUCAUUUUAACACUUCUAUUAAAAAACAUUCUC
rnacentral:sRNA from 1 species